rnacentral:rRNA from 1 species
UAGUUGGUAGGGUAACGGCCUACCAAGCCGAUGACGGGUAGGGGGCGUGAGAGCGUGAACCCCCACACUGGCACUGAGAUACGGGCCAGACUCCUACGGGAGGCAGCAGUGAGGAAUAUUGCCCAAUGGACGCAAGUCUGAGGCAGCAACGCCGCGUGGGCGAUGAAGGCCUUCGGGUUGUAAAGCCCUUUUCUGGGGGAAGAGGAAGGACGGUACCCCAGGAAUAAGUCACGGCUAACUACGUGCCAGCAGCCGCGGUAAUACGUAGGUGGCAAGCGUUAUCCGGAUUCACUGGGCGUAAAGCGCGUGCAGGCGGUUUCGUAAGUCGGACGUGAAAGCUCCUGGCUUAACUGGGAGAGGUCGUUCGAUACUGCGGGGCUUGAGGUCGGGAGAGGGACGUGGAAUUCCCGGUGUAGUGGUGGAAUGCGUAGAUAUCGGGAGGAACACCAGUGGCGAAGGCGACGUCCUGGCCCGCACCUGACGCUGAGACGCGAAAGCGUGGGUAGCGAACGGGAUUAGAUACCCCGGUAGUCCACGCUGUAAACGGUGGGUACUAGGUGUUGGUGGCUAUCGUCAUCAGUGCCGUAGCUAACGC